rnacentral:guide_RNA from 1 species
AACAUGCAUACGAGAACUGUGAUAGAUAUGACGAUGAUUAA